GUCAUCCCUGACCCCUUGAGGGUCCUAAAGGGCCGUUGGAGACCACAACGUUGAUAGGUGGGGUGUGUAAGCGUAGCGAUACGUUGAGCUAACCCAUACUAAUUACCCGUGAGGCUUAACCAUACAACACCCAAGAAGUGUUC
rnacentral:rRNA from 1 species